GACCCGUACUCACCUCCGGCGGGCGGCGGGCGGCCGCGGCCAGCCGUCUCCAGGCGGCGGCGAAGUCGGGCGGCGGAGCUCGCGGGCUCCGGCAGACCAGGGAGAACAAGGUCCCCAGCAGGAAGGCGGCCGCAGCGCAGCCCAGCCGCCUCAGGAACGGAAUCAGACAACUGUGGAGCAGUAGAUGAAGCCUGCAAUUCCUACUUACGGAGAGGCCCAAAAAAGUCUGCCUGGUGCCAGAGGGUGUGCACAGCUGCCAUAGUCACUGGCUCCAAGUCCCUGUAUUUUUGUCGCCGACGAUUCAGUACAAAUGCUACUACCCACGCAAGUGAAAGUAGUCCAGAUAAUUUUGAGAGUACAUAUUUUCUUCUCCUAUCAUGGUCCCAGCGUUAAUAUACAGAUAAUGCUUACUGAGAAGAUGCCAACAUGCGAAAUACUAGAAAUUAUGAACGCCAGCAAAGCAGCAGAUGUAUCUUUAAUGAAUAAAGGAAUUCUAAAGACGUUAAUGAUAAUUUAAAAGGGGGUGAUAGAGAGGGCAAAUCAACAAUAGAAAGGGGAAGAAAGGGAGAGGUAAACAGAUGAGAGAAGCCGAGAAGGAUACGGGAAACAUUAAAAAGCAAAAGCCCAGAACUCUCUCCAUGCAGCAGUCAUGAAGAAUUUCAACAGUUUAAAAGCGCUAUUGUUUCCCAAUAAAUUGAGUUAUAUCCUGCUUCCCAGGAGACAUAGGAAAAGUAAGCAUUAAAAUAUAUUUUCAAAUACUGUGACUAUACUGGGUUUUUCUAUAAGCAAUAUCUGUCGUUUCAACAGAGAAAAAAAUAUAUAACAUUUAUACAAAGUAAACUAUUUAGUGGAUAUUUAUUCUUUUAAAACAAAGUAUUAUCGAAGAGGUUAUUAAUCAAAAGAAGAAAUACCAGUGUCCAUAGACAUAAACAGCCCACCCAUGUAUUCACAUCAUUGUAAUAAAUUUUCCUGGAAUGGCAUGGAUUUCAAGUGGGAGAUGAAGUAGGAGGUCUAAAAAAAAUUAUCCCUAAUAUUAAGCUCUAACAAAACAGCAUAGAAAUGAAUUAUUUUAUGUACCUAUAUAAAAAUAAAUAUGUUCACAUUUGUCA